ACCAUUUGAGAAUUUACUAGGUGUGGGUGUGGUAUUAAGCAUAUCACAUACUCUGUCUCACUUAAUUCUUUCAACCUGAUGAGGGUAGUAUUUCUUUUUCUCAGAUGAGUAACCAGACUGAGCAGUAAUUUGUUCAAGACCACUCAGCCAGCACAUGAUAGAGCCAGGGCUCUAGCAUCUGUGUGGUUAGUCAUUUUUCCUCCCCUUCCUUCCUGGCUGCAGGAAACCAGGCACUUGGAUGAGAUGAAGUCAGCCAUGCAGAAAGGCCACGACCUGCUGAAGAAGAAAGAGGAGAGGCUGAACCAGCUGGAGUCCUCUCUUCAGGAAGAGGUGUCUCCUGUGGCCCCAUAGCCUAGUGUGGAGAGCCCUCUCUCUUUAGUCCCCGGGAUUGGAUUGGGUUCCUUGGUCCUGGAUUAGGAGAAGCUAGGUCUCUAGGACCCAGGAUUGGGUGUUGGCUGUGGGCUUCUGGCUGGUGAAAAUGACCAUGGCUCUUGCUGUUUUUCAAACAUGUCUGUGGGUUUAGAUGGUUGUGAGUAGCCCUGGAGCCUCUUGUGAAGGGUCAAAGAAGGGGAAUGGCCUCUGCCUUUCCCUGUCCCGGUUCCUGAAGAGAGAUGUGACUAGCAUUUGAGAGUAGACAUGGGUCACAGGUGUCCUUCCUUUCCCUGGGGCCAUGUAGACUUUGCCUUGCAUUCCAGGGGCUUGGAUGUGGCAUCAGCAAAGCUCAGGUGGAGAAAUACUAGGGACAGCGUGUAGGAGAGAACAGUGGGGUCCAUCCAGUCCUGAUGGCCCAGUUGCCUACAUAUCUGGCAGUAGGGUUCUCUCAGCUCACCUCCUCCUGAGCCAGCCCAUAUGGUAUGCCUCUCUCAGGUGCCUGGCAGAGCUCUGGGCCCCAGAAAAGCCAAACACCAAGGCCUCAGUUCCACUCAUCACAGGGGCAGUGAGGUAGAAAGCACACAGGAAGGGAGAGUACUAAUGGCUGCUUCCACCCAUCAGGCCUCAGAUGAGGACACUCUGAGAGGGGGCCCUGCCAAGAAGGUGGUGACCUUUGACCUCAGUGACACAGAAGACCUAAGCAGUGAAAGUUCCAUAUCCCACCCCUUGCCUUAUGUCAGUCCAACCCCAAGUCCCGGCUUCCCCAACAAGAUCCAUUACCUGAGCAGCUCCCUGCAGCGGAUCAGCAGCGAGCUGAAUGGUGUCCUCAGCGUGCUGGGCAGCCUCAGCACUCAGCCACCGCUGCCGCUCUUUACCUCCUCGCCAUCCUCUAAGAGCUCCUCCAUCCCUGUCUACUCCUCCCUGAACAAGGUCUCAGCCUCAUCCCCUGUGGCGUCCAUGUCUACCCAGUGGGCCUGGGACCCGGGGCUGGGCCCCAGGCUCUCCUCUGCUGUGGCUCAAACAGUGGAUGACUUCCUGCUAGAGAAGUGGCGCAAGUAUUUUCCCUGUAAGCCUCCCUUUGGCCCUGGGCUGAGCCUUCCUGCCUUCUUCCUCUUCCUUCCUUCUCUUCUACCCUCUUUUCCUUUUUGUCUUUUUAUUUUGCCUACCUCUUUCCCCUGCCCCCUACUUUGGUCCUUUGGCUCUGUCUGUGGAUCCCUGGUGAAGCUCUUGCUGGUGGUCCUGCAGCUGGAGGCUCUGUGGUCAGGAUGGCUUCCACGGAGCCUGGCCUGCUGGGGCCUUUAUUCUGGGUUCUAGAGUUGAGCAGAACCUAAAAGGUUAUCAUUGUCAUUGUCAUAAUGACUACCAUCUUGUGCAAUCAUUAUGGGCCAGGCAUUAUAUAUAUAUACAUAUGUAUAUAUUUUUUUCCCCCAUUUACUCCAUAUAAUAAUUCCUAUGGUGGUAAUUAUUUAUCCCCAUUUUACAGUUGAGUGAGCUGAGAUGCAGUGAGGUUAAGUAAUAUGCUUCAGGGUAUCCAGCGAAUGAGUUUUGACCCCAGGUUUGACAGUGGGUUUUGACUCCAUGUCUCAGACAUAAGAUUCUGCUUAUGAUUCCUUGACUGUUCAGCUUCCCCUUUCCUUUGGGCCUGUUGGCCUUCUUGGUGUCAUAGCCAUGCUGAGGAAUGUGAGAAGCCAUAAGACAUAGUCAUUUGAGCAAAAAUAUAUAAAAAAGAGAUAAAAAAACCCCCUCUUCUUUCUGCCCCAGACCCCAGUUUUUUUCUCAACUCAAAUUGAAAAAUAAGUUAAGUUUUAGGGAUAAAAUAAAAUAGAAUGGUUCCUGUCUGUCAUCUGUCUGUCACCUCCAGCCACUGAAAUUUUCCCUGCUUUUGUGUUCAUUCUGGGGGCCUGCCUUCCAUCUAUUUCUGGGGAGGCAGGAGGUGCUGGUGAGCAGGGAGGGGGCUGCUGGGAACUGGGUCUGGCUCAGCUAACUCACUGCUGUCUCUGAACUUUUGCCCCCACUCUUCUAGCUGGCAUCCCCUUACUCAGCAGCUGCCCUGCCCCCGUGGAGAACAGGCUGGGCUAUACGUCUGCCAGGUAAGCCUGAUUGGGUUUGGUGGGACAGUCAAACUGCUUGCUGUGCCCCUGUGGGUAGGUAGCACCUCUGAGAGGAGCAGACCUCAUAGUCCUGUUGCCCCAGGCUGUCAGGCAGGUCCCCAGUCCACAGAGCUGCCCUUGCCUUGCCUAAGUCUGAGAUACCCCUCAACAGCUGGGGAA
rnacentral:lncRNA from 1 species